UACGGAGGAUCCGAGCGUUAUCCGGAUUUAUUGGGUUUAAAGGGUGCGCAGGCGGGAUGUUAAGUCGGCGGUGAAAUUUUGCAGCUCAACUGUAAAAGUGCCUUCGAUACUGGCUUUCUUGAGUGUGGAUGAAGUAGGCGGAAUUUGUGGUGUAGCGGUGAAAUGCUUAGAUAUCACGAGGAACUCCGAUUGCGAAGGCAGCUUUCUGGCCCAUUACUGACGCUGAGGCACGAAAGCGUGGGGAUCGAACAGGAUUAGAUACCCGGGUA
rnacentral:rRNA from 1 species